rnacentral:lncRNA from 1 species
AUGCAUGGCCUGUUAUUGAUCAAAAUGUCAUUAUGCAUACAUAACUUUAAUUGAACAUCUUUUAAAGAAGCUAAAAGAAGGGAGAAUCUUCUGCCUUGAUUCCCAGUGUCCAAAUACAAAAGUAUUGACUACUGUCCCUGAUGUGACGAGCAGGAUCUAUUGAAGCCGAACACAUCAUCUUUCAGUUCCAGAUGCAGAAAAAAAUGUGAAAAACUUCAAGGCCCAUUAUUGAGAAAAACUUUCAGCAAAACUAGAGAUCUAAGAGAACUUCCUUAAUCUGAUAAAGAUAAUCUAUGGAGAAUCUACAGAUAACAUAAUGAAUGGUGAAAAACUGAAUUUAUUUUCCCUAAGGUAAGAAAUAAGGUAAGACUGUCACUUCUCACUAUUUUCCCCUCAGUGUUGUACUAGAAUUCACAGCCACUGCAGUAAGACAAGAAAAAGAAAUACAAAGCACAGAUUGGGAAGGAAGAUGAAAAUCUGCCUCUAUUCCUAGAUGACAGGUUAGUGUACAUAGAAAAUACUUGUAACCUAUAAAAAACCAAUAGGUGAGUGUUCCAAAGCCACAGGACACCAGUUGAUAUAUAAAAACCAUUUCUUUUACAAUAUAUAAGCAAUGGACAAUGGGAAACUGAAUUAAGAGCAUAAUGUCUAAUACAAUAAAAAAUGUGAAAUGUUUAGGGAUAAAUUUAACAAAAUACAUGCAAGAUUUGUAUACAAAAAAUAUAUAAUAUUGCCAAAAGUAAUUAAACAUGACCAAUAGUGGUUGAGAGAUUGGUUGUAUUCACAGAUUUGAAGACUUGAUAUAAUGAAGAGUUCUAGUCCUCCCAAACUGAU